UACGGGGGGGGCAAGCGUUGUUCGGAAUUACUGGGCGUAAAGGGCUCGUAGGGGGCCAACUAAGUCAGACGUGAAAUCCCUCGGCUUAACCGGGGAACUGCGUCUGAUACUGGAUGGCUUGAGUUCGGGAGAGGGAUGCGGAAUUCCAGGUGUAGCGGUGAAAUGCGUAGAUAUCUGGAGGAACACCGGUGGCGAAGGCGGCAUCCUGGACCGACACCGACACUGAGGAGCGAAAGCCAGGGGAGCAAACGGG
rnacentral:rRNA from 1 species